rnacentral:rRNA from 1 species
AGNACCUGGCGGCGGGCUUACACAUGCAAGUCGAAGGAGAAGGAAGGAGCUUGCUCUUUCUGGAGACUGGCGCACGGGUGAGUAACGCGUAGACAACCUGCCUAUAGCUGGGGGAUAACAUCUCGAAAGAGGUGCUAAUACCGCAUAAUGCAGCGGGGCCGCAUGGUCACAGUUGUUAAAGCCUUCGGGCGGCUAUAGAUGGGUCUGCGUGCCAUUAGUUAGUUGGUAGGGUAACGGCCUACCAAGGCGAUGAUGGCUAGGGGGUCUGAGAGGAUGAUCCCCCACACUGGGACUGAGACACGGCCCAGACUCCUACGGGAGGCAGCAGUGAGGAAUCUUGCGCAAUGGAGGAAACUCUGACGCAGCCACGCCGCGUGCCGGAAGAAGGCCCUAUGGGUUGUAAACGGCUUUUAAUUGGGAAGAAGGAUAGGGUUUUGAUCUUAUUUGACGGUACCGAUUGAAUAAGCACCGGCUAACUCCGUGCCAGCAGCCGCGGUAAUACGGAGGGUGCAAGCGUUGUCCGGAAUCAUUGGGUGUAAAGGGUGCGUAGGCUGGCUCUUAAGUCUGAGGUGAAAUCUUGCCGCUUAACGGUAAAAUGGCCUUGGAUACUGGGAGUCUUGAAUCUGACAGAGGUCGGUGGAAUUCGUAGUGUAGCGGUGAAAUGCAUAGAUAUUACGAAGAACACCAGUGGCGAAGGCGGCCGGCUGGGUCAGUAUUGACGCUGAGGCACGAGAGCGUGGGGAGCGAACAGGAUUAGAUACCCUGGUAGUCCACGCUGUAAACGAUGU